rnacentral:misc_RNA from 1 species
GUUGUGCAACUUUAAUCUCCAAUGUUACUAUCUGAUCCAGCAUUUCUUUGGGCUGUACAGCUUGAAUAUCUAAUAUUGCAAUUAUCUGGUCCACAAUUCUUCCAUAACCGAUGCAAAAUCAUCCUGUGUCAUUGAACAAAGGACUUCCAUUUCACAUUCGAAUCUUGUUUUCCCCAUCGCAUAAUCCGGUUGCCCCUGAUCACCGUCUUCAAUAUUUCUGUCCUUGGAAUCCUCACUCACUAAAUGUG